CUUUCUGAGACAUGUUUUCAUGGUGUGGGAAUAAGACUUGGUGGUCUUAUACAGCUAAUACAAAGGUUAGCAUCACAGCUUGUCUGUAAGGAUUGAAGCUGGGAGUGGGCAUUGGAGCUGACUUUUAUGAUAACUGUGGCUGCAUAAAAUGGUUGUGUGAUAUAACUGCAACAGUAAAGAAUGUAAUUCAGACUAUUUUUGUGUAUGCUUGAGAAAAUGUUUAUAAUUUUUUUACCAAAAAAAAAAAAAUAUGUAAAGAUUCUCCAUUUUCAACAAGAUUGGAAGUUGUAGGUUAACUUGUAUUUGACAUUACAAAAAUUACUUUCUAUUUUCCGUUUAUACUCAUGUCUAGUCAAAACACUUCCAGCAGUUUAAGAAUGGAUAAUCUAAAAGAAAAAGAAAGAAAAAAGAAAAAAAAAUGUUCAAUUAUUGAAAUGUAUUUUUUUUUUGCAAAUUGUAAUGUAUAUAUUUUUGCCAUCUUUUUGUUAUUUUAGGAUUUGAGAUACUUUUAAAUUUUACAAGUUACUUUAUACAUGUAGUUAAUGCAAUUAAAUCUGCCGAUGUGAAUAUUCCCACUAAAUUUCUUAGCAAAAUUUUUUAAUUAUUUUUGUUUUUUUUAGCAACGUUUCAAAAUACCUUACCAUAGCAAAUGCCUCUCUAGUGUAAACUAAAAAGAUGAAUAAUGGUCUGCAGUAUAUAUAUAUAUAUCCCCUUACAACCUUUUCUUUCAUUUUAAUUUUAAUAUCUUUAAGAUAUGUGACAAGGGUGCUCUAAUGCAGAGGAAUUUACGAAGUUAAGAAGUUAGAAAUAUAUUUUUUGCACUUUUUUUGUCAUUUUUAGCUGAUUUUGGUUUGUAACCAAGGUGAUAUUUUUUAAAGAAUAAUUUUACAAAAGGCAUAGUUGAAGAACAUCUUGUUAAAAUUGGAUUGGUUGAUAAACACCACUUUAACAUGAUUUACUAUAAUUUUGGCUGUAAAUUUUUAUUUGUGGAGACAGCCAGAGUGCCUGGUGAAAACAUCACCUUCAUCAGGGAAACGGGCAAACCCUAGUCAAAUUAAGAAUGAAGUUACACAUUUCAUGUGAGGGUUCUCAGUGUUGACAGGCUAGUGAUACAGUAGUUGAACUACUUAUAGGACCACUCUGCCACCAUAAGUCGAUCAGUACGAAAUAUUUUAUUGAAAUGUGUUAGAUUUUUGUUAUCAAUCUAUUUUUAAUUUUAAUUGUACUAUUUUAUUUAUUUUGUUUAAUAUAACAAGGAUGUGGAGUCCGAACAGGGUGAAAUUUGGGUCAAAGGGAGGAAAUUUAUUAUACCCCUGUUUAACUCCACAUACUUGAAAUUCCCUCAAUGUUAGGAUUUUCAUCUACUUGGAUAUUCAUGUUUGUACAUUUUUUUUUAAUAUCAGAUGUAUACUAGCUAAUAUUGACUAUUAUUUAGAGCUCUGUAAUAAAAAAAAAUAAAUGUAAGCAGAGCUCUAGAUAAUAAGUAUGCAGGGUGGGAGAAAUCUUGGGUCAUUAACAAUUGAUUUGCUGAAAUUUUCAAGAAAGGGGUUUAUUGGAAAUGCAUCUGAUAUAUUUAAUGUAUAAAACUAUAUUUAAAAAAAAAUAAUGUUAAGAUGAUGAGGAGAGCCACCUUGUCAGCCGGGAGAGCAUCUCUAAGGGAGAUGGUCAAUUUAAUCUUCACCAAGCCUGAG